UUUAUGCUGGAAGCUGUUGGGCGAU
rnacentral:piRNA from 1 species